UGUCAGGGGACCCUCGCCCUGUGCCACCGGUAGGGGAUACUCCCGCAGCUGCCUACAAGGAGCUUUGCAGGAGGACCACAGACUCCGCCUGCACAACUGGGCGGAAGUUGCCAGGGGCCCGGCUCCACCCACCUGCAGAGGGCACAGCCUGCCAAGGGCGCCCAGGGCCACGCCCCUGUGCCCAGCUCCCCCUCUGCAGCUCCGCCAGCGCCCCGGGUCCAGGUCCAGGUCCGCACAGGGCGGGCCUCAGCCUCCAGGGCUGCUGCACACUUGGGCCCUUGGGUGGUGACCGUGGCCCUCCCCACCGCCAGCAGCUGCCCACCCUGCUUUGUUUGGAGGGGGAUGCAGGAGCCAGAGAAAAGACCCGUGGCAACGGCAAAAACCAUAUCAAGACCACCCAAGCCGUGGCUGGACGCCAGGCCCUGGACCCGCCCCCCUCCUCCCGCCGUGGCAGUUUCUGCUGAAAUUCUCACUUUCCCCCACUUUGCAGGUGAAAUUAAACCCAAGCCUUUA